rfam:Solenopsis invicta Si_gnG.contig81466, whole genome shotgun sequence.
CGAUCGGCCCUUUUCAGGGCCAAUAAAACUUUCAUACCGCGAAUAG